rnacentral:rRNA from 1 species
CCAAUAGCGUAUAUUAAAGUUGUUGCAGUUAAAAAGCUCGUAGUUGAAUUUCGGGGUCAGCAGGUUGGUCGUCCCACUGGUAUGCACUGGCUUCGCUGAUUCCUCCUUUCUGACGAACUGUAAUGUCAUUAAUUUGGUGUUGCAGGGAAACAGGACUGUUACUUUGAAAAAAUUAGAGUGUUUAAAGCAGGCUAACGCUUGAAUACAUUAGCAUGGAAUAAUGAAAUAGGACGUUCGAUCCUAUUUUGUUGGUUUCUAGGAUUGACGUAAUGAUUAAUAGGGAUAGUUGGGGGCAUUAGUAUUCAAUUGUCAGAGGUGAAAUUCUUGGAUUUAUUGAAGACUAACUACUGCGAAAGCAUUUGCCAAGGAUGUUUUCAUUAAUCAAGAACGAAAGUUAGGGGAUCGAAGACGAUCAGAUACCGUCGUAGUCUUAACCAUAAACUAUGCCGACUAGGGAUCGGAUGAUGUUAAUUUUUUAAUGACUCAUUCGGCGCCUUACG